rnacentral:misc_RNA from 1 species
GCCACGCUGGAGGCAGGGCCGCCAGAGAAAGCGACAAGGACAUUAUCAGAAGGGGUAAUCAUAGAAUAAGAAGUAACAGAAAGUCUAAACUUCCCAUAAAGAUUGCGCCGAAAACAACCGUAACAGAAGUGCGCAUCAUCAGCACCAGCACCAGCACCAGCAGAGGCACUAGAAAUGGGCUGGUUGGCCUUGCACUUGACACACAGAUUCUGCUGUCCAUUAGUACUAGUACUUAACUUCCGAUCAGUUAAAGACGGCGAGUCUUCUGCAUACUCCUCGUCGUUCUUGUAGCAAUUAGACUGGCAGCUUGAAGAAUUGCAAGCCAUGGCUGAUAAGUAUUGGGCGCUGGUUCUGUGAAAUCACAC